GAUGAACGCUGGCGGCGUGCUUAACACAUGCAAGUCGAACGAAGCACCUUGAUUUGAUUCUUCGGAUGAAGAUCUUGGUGACUGAGUGGCGGACGGGUGAGUAACACGUGGGUAACCUGCCUCAUACAGGGGGAUAACAGCUAGAAAUGACUGCUAAUACCGCAUAAGACCACAGCACCGCAUGGUGCAGGGGUAAAAACUCCGGUGGUAUGGGAUGGACCCGCGUCUGAUUAGGUAGUUGGUGGGGUAACGGCCUACCAAGCCGACGAUCAGUAGCCGACUUGAGAGGGUGACCGGCCACAUUGGGACUGAGACACGGCCCAAACUCCUACGGGAGGCAGCAGUGGGGAAUAUUGCACAAUGGGGGAAACCCUGAUGCAGCGAUGCCGCGUGAGCGAUGAAGUAUUUCGGUAUGUAAAGCUCUAUCAGCAGGGAAGAAAAUGACGGUACCUGACUAAGAAGCACCGGCUAAAUCCGUG
rnacentral:rRNA from 1 species